rnacentral:tRNA from 1 species
GCGGCAGUAGUCUAGCCUGGUAGGACCCGAGCUUCCCAAGCUCGUGACCCGGGUUCAAAUCCCGGCUGCCGCA